rnacentral:rRNA from 1 species
AAGAAUAUCAAACUCCGAAUGCCGCGUAAUCGAUUAUCGGGAGUCAGACUGCACGAGAUAAGUUGGGCGGUCAAAAGGGAAAGAGCCCAGACCUUCAGUUAAGGUCCCCAAGUGCGCGUUAAGUGGAAAAGGAUGUGGGAUUUCGAAGACAACCAGGAUGUUGGCUCAGAAGCAGCCAUCCAUUCAAAGAGUGCGUAAUAGCUCACUGGUCGAGAGGUCCUGCGCCGAAAAUGUCCGGGGCUGAAACGCGCCACCGAAACUAAGGAACCGAAAGGUUGGUAGAGGAGCAUUGCAUGCGGAACGAAGCAGUACCGUAAGGAGCUGUGGACUGCAUGGAAGAGAGAAUGCCGGAAUGAGUAGCGAGAAUAAGGUGAGAAUCCUUAUGGCCGAAUAUCCAAGGUUUCCAGAGUAAAGCUGAUCUGCUCUGGGUAAGUCGGGGCCUAAGGCGAGGACGAGAGUCGUAGCCGAUGGACAACAGGUGGAGAUUCCUGUACUGCGGUAUGACAGAACUGUGGGGACACGUAAGGAAAGCGGAAGCCGGGAAUGGAUAGCCCGGUGCAAGCGGGGUACCAGUCACUCUGGCAAAUCCGGGUGGCAAUGGGAAGCCGUGAUGCGGAGCGAAAUAAAGUAGCGAAGUCCGUGAGCCAUGCGUCAAGAAAAGCCGCUAUCGUUUAUACCGUACCCGUACCGUAAACCGACACAGGUGGAUGAGGAGAGAAUCCUAAGGCCGGCGGAAGAAGCAUUGUCAAGGAACUCGGCAAAAUGGCCCCGUAACUUAGGGAUAAGGGGUGCCUGGGAAACCAGGCCGCAGAGAAUAGGCUCAAGCAACUGUUUACCAAAAACACAGGUCUAUGCGAAACCGAAAGGUGAGGUAUUUGGGCUGACGCCUGCCCGGUGCUGGAAGGUUAAGAGGAGAGGUUAGCGCAAGCGAAGCUUUGAAUUUAAGCCCCAGUAAACGGCGGCCGUAACUAUAACGGUCCUAAGGUAGCGAAAUUCCUUGGCGGGUAAGUUCCGACCCGCACGAAAGGCGUAAUGAUUUGAGCGCUGUCUCGACAUUGCAUCCGGUGAAAUUGAAGUACCAGUGAAGAUGCUGGUUACCUGCGCCAGGACGGAAAGACCCCAUGGAGCUUUACUCCAGUCUGGUACUGGGACUCGGUAUUGCAUGUACAGGAUAGGUGGGAGGCUAGGAGAUGGUAACGCCAGUUGCCAUGGAGCCGCUGUUGGGAUACCACCCUUGCAGUAUUGGGUUUCUAACCAGCCGCCGUGACCCGGCGGUGGGACAAUGCCAGAC